rnacentral:rRNA from 1 species
AACGAACGCUGGCGGCGUGCCUAACACAUGCAAGUCGAGCGAGAAAGUCCCCUCGGGGGCGAGUAGAGCGGCGGACGGGUGAGUAAUACAUGGGUAAUUUACCCUUGAGUUCGGGAUAACCCUGCGAAAGCGGAGCUAAUACCGGAUAAGACCACGUAGCUAAAGCUACGAGGUAAAAGGUGGCUUGUAUUCGUACAUGCUAUCACUUGAGGAUGAGCCCAUGGCCUAUCAGCUUGUUGGUGAGGUAAGAGCUUACCAAGGCUAUGACGGGUAGCUGGUCUGAGAGGACGACCAGCCACACUGGGACUGAGACACGGCCCAGACACCUACGGGUGGCAG